CAUACUGAAACUUUUUUUUUAAAUGAUCUCUGUGUUUCACUCCAGGAGGCGUUGCAGGCCUUGGAACAAGAUGUGGAAAAGCAGAAGGUCUGCUGGGAGAAUGAGGUGCUCCAACUGAAAGAAUACAACCAGGAGAUAGUCUCAGAAAUGGAGACUAUCAAGCUCCAAGUGGAGAAGCUUCAGACCCAGCUGUCAAGUAAAGACAGUGAACUGGAGAAGCUUGCUCAGCACGACAAAGAAAGGACACAUCUGUGGCUCAAACAAAUUAACUGGGAGCACCGUGUCAAAAUAACUGAACAGGGGAAGAAGCUUGAGUGGACCGAGGAAAUUAGGAGGGAGAAAGAAACUGCCUUGAGGAAGAAAGAAGAGCGCAUGCAGGAUGAGGUGUCUGACCUGACAAGGCUACAUAGAUGCAACAUGGACAAUCAGGUUCUCCAAACUGAGAAAGAUGAACUGCAAGAUAAAAUCUCUAACCUACAAAAGGAGAACAGUAAACUGAGCUUACUGACUCAGCAACCUUCAGACCAAGGAGAUGCUAGGAACAAUUCAGGCCUUUGCUAUGGAAACCCAUAUCUAGAAGAUCGUCUCAAAGAAAGUCUUUGCUCCACGCUUGGCCUGGAAAGAAGCAAUCCUGUUGUAACACGUUUAUAAGUGCUCAGACCAUGGGCCUGAGCCACUGCUUCCUGUCCGUAAGUCUUAGUGACUGAUUUAGGAACUGUUAAGAAGUAUCUGAGCUUGCAACUUUCAUAGUUAUGUAUGAUUGUAAGAAUGACACUAUUGUUAAUCUUCUUAAUAUUUAAAAUAAACUACUUUUUAAAUGACA
rnacentral:lncRNA from 1 species